rnacentral:tRNA from 1 species
GGGGAUUUAGCUCAGCGGCAUAAGCGCCUGCCUUGCAAGCAGGAGGUCGUGAGUUUGAUCCCCA